GACGAACGCUGGCGGCGUGCUUAACACAUGCAAGUCGAGCGGUAAGGCCUUUCGGGGGUACACGAGCGGCGAACGGGUGAGUAACACGUGGGUGACCUGCCUUUAGCUCUGGGAUAAGCCUGGGAAACUGGGUCUAAUACCGGAUACGACUCCGCGGUGCAUGCUGUGGGGUGGAAAGCCUUGUGCGGCUGGAGAUGGGCCCGCGGCCUAUCAGCUUGUUGGUGGGUGAUGGCCUACCAAGGCGACGACGGGUAGCCGGCCUGAGAGGGCGACCGGCCACACUGGGACUGAGACACGGCCCAGACUCCUACGGGAGGCAGCAGUGGGGAAUCUUGCGCAAUGGGCGAAAGCCUGAACGCAGCGACGCCGCGUGAGGGAUGACGGCCUGGU
rnacentral:rRNA from 1 species